rnacentral:rRNA from 1 species
ACGUAGGGCGCGAGCGUUGUCCGGAUUUAUUGGGCGUAAAGAGCUCGUAGGCGGCUCAUUGCGUCAACCGUGAAAACCAGCAGCUCAACUGUUGGCUUGCGGUUGAUACGGGUGGGCUGGAGUUCGGUAGGGGAGACUGGAAUUCCUGGUGUAGCGGUGAAAUGCGCAGAUAUCAGGAGGAACACCGGUGGCGAAGGCGGGUCUCUGGGCCGAUACUGACGCUGAGGAGCGAAAGCGUGGGGAGCGAACAGGA